rnacentral:rRNA from 1 species
GACAGAGGUCCCGAGCGUUAGGCGGAAUCACUGGGCUUAAAGCGUGUGUAGGCGGAUUUGUAAGUACCUUGUGAAAUCCCACGGCUUAACCGUGGAACUGCUUGGUAUACUGCUUAUCUUGGGCCAUCUAGGGGCUACCGGAACAAGUGGUGGAGCGGUGAAAUGCGUAGAUAUCACUUGGAACGCCAAUGGUGAAAACAGGUAGCUGGGGAUGUGCCGACGCUGAGACACGAAAGCCAGGGGAGCGAACGGG